rnacentral:rRNA from 1 species
GAGUUUGAUCGUGGCUCAGGACGAACGCUGGCGGCGUGCCUAAUACAUGCAAGUAGAACGCUGAAAUCUGGUGCUUGCACCGGAUGGAUGAGUUGCGAACGGGUGAGUAACGCGUAGGUAACCUACCUCAUAGCGGGGGAUAACUAUUGGAAACGAUAGCUAAUACCGCAUAACAGUCUUUAACUCAUGUUAGAGUCUUGAAAGGGGCAAUUGCUUCACUAUGAGAUGGACCUGCGUUGUAUUAGCUAGUUGGUGAGGUAAC